rnacentral:rRNA from 1 species
UGAGGAAUUUUGCGCAAUGGGAGCAAUCCUGACGCAGCAACGCAGCGUGGGUGAUGAAGGCCUUCGGGUCGUAAAGCCCUGUCAGGUGGGAAGAAUGUCCUGGAAUUGAACAGGUUUCGGGAGUGACGGUACCACCAGAGGAAGCACCGGCUAACUCCGUGCCAGCAGCCGCGGUAAUACGGAGGGUGCAAGCGUUAUUCGGAAUUACUGGGCGUAAAGCGCGUGUAGGCGGUCCUGCAAGUCUGAUGUGAAAGCCCCGGGCUUAACCCGGGAAGUGCAUUGGAAACUGCAGGGCUUGAGUACUGGAGAGGAUGGGGGAAUUCCCGGGGUAGAGGUGAAAUUCGUAGAGAUCGGGAGGAAUAUCAGUGGCGAAGGCGCCCAUCUGGACGGUAACUGACGCUGAGACGCACCGACUUCUGCUCCGC